UCUUUUUGAUUUUAUUUAAAGUCAGACCUGCCCAAUGAAUUUUAAAUGGCCGCAGUACUUUAACUGUGCAAAGGUAGCAUAAUAAUUUGUUUUUUAAUUGGAAACUUGCAUGAAUGGUCAUACGAGAGAUUGACUUUCUUUAUCUUAUAUUAAUUAAUUUUAUUUUUCUGUGAAAAAGCAGAGAUGUUUUUAGUAGACGAUAAGACCCUUUAAAACUUUAUUUAUCAUAAAAAUAUGAUUUUGUAGUUUUUAAUUUUGUACUAUUUUUGGUGAAUUUUGUUGGGGCGACAGGUAAAUUUAUCUAACUUUAUCUUUUUAUAUCAUAAAUUAGUGUUUAUUUGAUCCGGAUUUAAUUUCGAUUAAAAGUUUAAGUUACUUAAGG
rnacentral:rRNA from 1 species